UACGAAGGGAGCUAGCGUUGUCCGGAAUCACUGGGCGUAAAGCGCACGUAGGCGGAUUUGUCAGUCAGGGGUGAAAUCCCGGGGCUCAACCUCGGAACUGCCUUUGAUACAGCAAGUCUUGAGUUCGAGAGAGGUGGGUGGAAUUUCCGGUGUAGCGGUGAAAUGCGUAGAUAUCGGAAGGAACAUCAGUGGCGAAAGCGACUUCCUGGACCAAUACUGACGCUCAUGUGCGAAAGCGUGGGGAGCAAACAGG
rnacentral:rRNA from 1 species